rnacentral:rRNA from 1 species
CCCGGUGAAGUUUAAACGGCCGCAGUUAGAAGCUGUGCUAAGGUAGCGUAGUAAGUUGUCCUUUAAAUGGGGAAAGGAAUGAAUGGUUUGACGUGAGAAAAGCUGUCUCUGUUAGAAAAAGAAAAGUUUUCUUCUUGGUGAAAAGCCCAAGAUUUGGUUAAAAGACGAGAAGACCCUUUCGAGCUUGAUAAAAUGCUUAGUAUUCUAGGGGUGUAAGUUUGGUUGGGGCAACCUAGGAGCAAAAGGAGACUCCUUGAAGAUUCUAUGAAUCCAAAAAUUUUGAAUAGAGAAAAAGCUACCGUAGGGAUAACAGCGUUAUCCUCUCUGAGAGAACAAAUUGAAGAGGGGGUUUGCGACCUCGAUGUUGAAUUAAGGUUUCCGUUGGGCGUAGA